UAUAGAAGUUGAGAUACUGAGAGGAGAAACAUCUACAACACUACUAUACCACUCAUGAAGCUUCCCCUUUGCAUGUAGGGAUGGGGGACUUGAGUCCUCCCUCAGGGUAAUAUGUUCUAAUGGAGAGAAUUUCACAUGAGACAGAAACAACUGACAUUAAAUUGGGAACCUCAGGCAUGCAUACAAGUCCAGUGGUCUACCAGUUGACUAUUUUCCCAACCAUAUGGGAGUUUUAAAAUAUAUUUUUAUUUAUUUUUGACUAGAGCACUACUCAGCUCUGCUCAGAUUGAACUUGGGACCUUUGAGCCUCAGGUAUGAAAAUCUGUAGCAGAAGUUAUUGUGCUACUUCCCUGGCUCCUACAGCUUUUUUGAAUAGCAAUCUGACAUCUGUUAUAACUUAUGACACCCUGAGGAAACUUCCCUUAGAAUUAAAACCCAAUACAUAAAGGACAGAAUUGUAAAAUUAUUUUCCGUGGCUUUUAAAAAAGCAAACACUAGUAUUAAAAUAAAUUCUCAUUGAAAAUCAGACAAGGGAAGUAAUUACAGUAUAUCUAUGCCAUUGUUUAUAAAGCCAUUAAUGUGGAGAAGUUAACUAUGUUGGUGGGCUUGAAUGAAAUUCCACUAGGUUUUCUUUUUUUAUUAUCUUUAUUUAUUGAAUAGGCAAUCAGAAAUCAAGAAGGAAGGGAGACAGAUGCAGGCAACACUGCUUCACCACUUGCAAAGCUUUCCCCAGGCAGGUGAAGACCAGGGGCUUGAAUCUAGGUCUUUGUGCACUAUCACGUGUGCUUGAUCAACCAGGUGUGCCACCACCUGGCCCCUCUACUAGGUUUUCUUGAGUGGGAAAAACAAGCAAAGUAAUAUAUAAACUGUGACUUGCCUUUAUUAUUUUGGAUAGAGAUGGAGGGAGAGAGGGUGAUACUUGCAAUACUUCUUCACUGUUUAUGAGACUUGCCCCUGCCAGAAGGGUGGGUACCAGGCACUUGAACUCAGGUCUUUACACUCUGCAAUGUGUCUGCUCAACCAGGUGUGCCACUAUCUGGCCCCUGAUUUGCUUUUACAUAUCAAUGACAAAAUACUUCUUGGUGUUUUAUGUACAACAAAUGUUUCCAAGUUUAUGGGUUAUGGGGAGGUUGGAUCAUCAGAGAGUUGGGAGGGGAAAAUCAGUGUAAACAAUAUGUAAGUGACUGAGCCAAGUUAUAUCGCAAAUGUUUUAUUAAAUACAUUUGAGGGGAAAGCUAGAACUCUAAUGUGCUGGACUAUUUGUGGCAUUGUAAAGUGAAAACAGUAAACUAGAAUAAUGUGUAUAAGUAGUAUUUAUUAAAACUCCCUAUAUUUGUUCAUUAAAAAAAAUUUUUUUUUUCCUUU